GAGUGCGCAGGCGCCGUGGGCCUCGCCCUGCCCCGCGGCGGGAACGCGGCCGUGAGGGUGUGGGGUGUAGGUCCGCCAGGCCUGCAACGGCUGCCGAGGGUCGUGGGAUGCGCUCGCCGCGUCCCUGCUCAGGCGGAGGGAGCCCGGCCCGCCGCCAGGGUCUCGAGUCCGGGUCCAGGCAGGCGUGGAGGUGGCGGGAACGGCGCACCGCCCGGGUGGGCGUUGUUUUAAGGCCGCAGGGCUUGGGAGGCUUGUGUUGAGUUACAGGUCGGCCCGUAGAUCCCCGGAAGCGCCUUUGGUUGCCAGCAGGUGUCGGCGAGGGUCUUCAGUGGCCACCCUCCUGGUGGUGAUGUUUCCGUUUCUUUCCAACAGGAGUAUGACAACUUUUCAACUUGAGUGCACACACUGUCCCCGGAAUCCCGCGUUCCAGGGAGGAAGCGCCUUUGACAGCGCGCGCCGGUUCGUGGGGCCCGACGGCGUGGGCCUGUGGUUGCGGACCUGGCGGAGAUGCGCGUUCGCUUCGAUUGUAGGCCAUUCCUUUUAGGAGCUGAGAAAGGAUCCGUUUUUACAGCAUUCUCGACCUGUGAUUCUUGGUGGGGGAAACUAGUUAUGUGGAUAAAAAUACAGUUAGCAAAAUAAAAAUGCCAAUUUUACAUUUCC
rnacentral:lncRNA from 10 species